rnacentral:tRNA from 1 species
UGGGCUAUAGCCAAGCGGUAAGGCAACGGACUUUGACUCCGUAUCUCGUUGGUUCGAAUCCAGCCAUCCCAG